GUUUUUCUUUGAUUUGACCUAGUGACCUAGUUUUUGACCCGAGAUGACCCAUUUUCGAACUCGGCUUAGAUUUCAUCAAGGUUAUCAUUCUGACCAAUAUUCAUGAAGAUUAAUUGAAAAAUACAGCCUCUAUCGCAUACACAAGCUAAAUGUUGACAGACGACGGACGACAGACGACAGACGCCAGACGACAGACGACGGACGACGGACGCCGGACAUCGAGCGAUCAGAAAAACUCACCUGAGCAUUGCUCAGGUGAGCUAAAAACAGA